GGCGGUAUCGUCUAGCUUGGUCCAGGACGUAGCCCUCUCAAGGCUAAAACACGGGUUCAAAUCCCGUUACCGCUACCA
rnacentral:tRNA from 1 species